GACGAACGCUGGCGGCGUGCUUAACACAUGCAAGUCGAACGGAAAGGCCCUGCUUUUGUGGGGUGCUCGAGUGGCGAACGGGUGAGUAACACGUGAGUAACCUGCCCUUGACUUUGGGAUAACUUCAGGAAACUGGGGCUAAUACCGGAUAGGAGCUCCUGCUGCAUGGGGGGGGUGGGAAAGUUUCGGCGGUUGGGGAUGGACUCGCGGCUUAUCGGCUUGUUGGUGGGGUAGUGGCUUACCAAGGCUUUGACGGGUAGCCGGCCUGAGAGGGUGACCGGCCACAUUGGGACUGAGAUACGGCCCAGACUCCUACGGGAGGCAGCAGUGGGGAAUAUUGCACAAUGGGCGGAAGCCUGAUGCAGCAACGCCGCGUGCGGGAUGACGGCCUUCGGGUUGUAAACCGCUUUCGCCUGUGACGAAGCGUGAGUGACGGUAAUGGGUAAAGAAGCACCGGCUAACUACGUG
rnacentral:rRNA from 1 species